ACUCCUACGGGAGGCAGCAGUGGGAGUAUUGCACAAUGGGCGCAAGCCUGAUGCAGCCAUGCCGCGUGUGUGAAGAAGGCCUUCGGGUUGUAAAGCACUUUCAGUCGUGAGGAAGGUAGUGUAGUUAAUAGCUGCAUUAUUUGACGUUAGCGACAGAANAAGCACGGCCUAACUCCGUGCCAGCAGCCGCGGUAUACGGAGGUGCGAGCGUUAAUCGGAAUUAC
rnacentral:rRNA from 1 species